rnacentral:lncRNA from 1 species
CCCUAGAACAUAUUUGUUAUCUAUCAAUUUAGUCCCUUAUUCUCUUUUAAUCCUAACCUUUGAUCUAGAAAUGUUGUCUCUCUUAGACUGCCAUGUGGCAGCUCUCAGAUCUCUCCCUUCUUCCCUCUCUUCCCGAAACACAUCUCAGAACCUCUCUCUUUUUCUGUUUCUUCUCUCUCUCUCUAACUCUCAAAAACUCUCACACUCUCUAAGCUCCGAGAGCUUCUCUCUAACUUUCACCUCACUUCCUUCACAAAUCAAACCCCAAAAACCAUAUAUUUGGAAUCCUUGAGACCUAACGAACUCAAUGGUACCCUUGCAUGCGCCAUCUGAGCACCGUGGGUUUUUCUGUCAUUGAAGCCGAGAGCUUCAAAGCUCUAAAACUCCAACCCAGGUAAAGAUUGUGUUCCUUCUUCAAAUUUCUGGGAUUAAUCAUGUUAUUUGUGUUGGUUUUAAGGUCAAAAUCGAGGGUUUUGACCUUACCUUUUCUCUAUGCCAAAAACCCGGUUCCGACGACGAACUCCGGCGAGUUCGUAGGUGUGUGUGUGUACAAGUGUAUGUGUGUGUCCGUGUGUGUGUAUGCGAACUGUGGGUGUGUGUGAGCAUGCUGUGCAUGCCGUGUAUACUGUGCGUGUAUGUAUGUGUAUGUGCAAGUGUGUAUGUGCGUGAACCGUGUGUGUGUGUGUGUGUAAGUAUGCAUGAUGUUGUGCGUGUGUGUGAUUAUAUAUAUAUAUGCAUGAUGCUGUGCGUGUGUGUGAUUAUAUAUAUAUAUAUAUAUGCAUGAUGCUGUGCGUGUGUGUGAUUAUAUAUAUAUAUAUAUAUAUGCAAGUGUGUGUGUGCAGCGCAUGCUUAUGCAUGCUCUGUGUGUGUGUGCGUGCAGUGCAUGCUUUGCAUGUGUGUGUGUGUGGGUGAGUAUGGGUUGGGCUCCAACCCAAACCACCUCUUGAUCCUAACCUAUCCAAAUCCAAGGCCCAUUUCCAUUUCCUAGAAUUAUAUUGUUGGGUAGUUUGAUUAACUGUACGUUCUUGUACUUAGGGGCAAUCAUCGCAACGUUUCUGUCUUCGCUAGUGGCGCAGCUUUUGACGGAGUAUUUGUGAGUGGACCACCUUCGAAAAUUGCAUGUUUUAUUGAUAGAAUUGCAUAAUUUAAUAGCAUGCCUUACAGAAUUAUUUGAUUUGAGGAUCGAUGAAAUUAUGCUACGAAGUUGUAUUUUAGAGAUGAAUUAUGUUUUGUGCGUACCUAGUGAACACUAUGCCGCCUGGGGCGAGGAUCUGGUGUUGGCAUUGAGGCCAGGAGAAAUAAUCCCUAGCGAAAGGCUGAGGGACACGGAGACAGGCAUUGGGCCGGGAGGGAGAUAUCUCUGGCUACGGGCACAGAGACUGAGGUGCAGGCAUUGGGCCGGGAGUAUUAUUAUUCAGUGCACUCACUAGCAGCACAACUUGUGUUAUGCUUCCUGACAUGAUUUCUUAUAUGAUUUAUGAUACGAUUUCUGAGAUUGAUUUGCAGAAUGAGAUUGAGUUGCAGAGAGAUAUAUGAAAUUAUUUUUAUGGCAUGCUACAGUUUUCUGAAAAGCUUAUCACUUAUUAUUCUAGUAGUUUUCAUUAUUAAAUUGUGGGGGUUAGUAUGUUCAUAACUGUUUUCGUACUAUGUAUGUAUAUAAACUUGGUCCACUCACCCUUGUUUUGCGCCCCCAUUCAGGACUUAGGAUGAAGGCACAUAACCCCGGCAUCAAGGUACUUCCGCAGCGGCAUCUUCGAGUCCUCUCGGGGUAGGACCCACUCAUUUGUUCAUUCAAUCUUAUCUUAGUUCUUGUUAGUGACUAGGUUUAGUUAUAUGCUCUGAACACGUUCCCAAAUUGUUAAUUCAUUGUUUUUAAAUUCAUAACCUGUAUUUAUUUCUU